UACGUAGGGUGCAAGCGUUAAUCGGAAUUACUGGGCGUAAAGCGUGCGCAGGCGGUUUUGUAAGUUUGUCGUGAAAGCCCCGGGCUCAACCUGGGAAUUGCGAUGAAGACUGCAAGGCUUGAAUCUGGCAGAGGGGGGUAGAAUUCCACGGUGUAGCAGUGAAAUGCGUAGAGAUGUGGAGGAACACCGAUGGCGAAGGCGCCCCUGGGUCAAGAUUGACGCCUCAUGC
rnacentral:rRNA from 1 species